GUGAGGAAUAUUGCGCAAUGGAGGCAACUCUGACGCAGCCAUGCCGCGUGCAGGAAGAAGGCGCUACGCGUUGUAAACUGCUUUUAACCGGGAAGAAACCCCAGGACGUGUCCUGGGUUGACGGUACCGGAGGAAUAAGCACCGGCUAACUUCGUGCCAGCAGCCGCGGUAAUACGAAGGGUGCAAGCGUUAUCCGGAUUCAUUGGGUUUAAAGGGUGCGUAGGCGGAGCGUUAAGUCAAUGGUGAAAUCCUGCAGCUUAACUGUAGACUUGCCAUUGAUACUGGCGCUCUUGAGUGCGCUUGAAGUGGGCGGAAUGUGCCGUGUAGCGGUGAAAUGCUUAGAUAUGGCACAGAACACCAAUUGCGAAGGCAGCUCACUAAGGCGAUACUGACGCUGAGGCACGAAAGCGUGGGGAUCGAACAGGAUUAGAAACCCGGGUAGUCC
rnacentral:rRNA from 1 species